rnacentral:lncRNA from 1 species
GGCAAUUGCCAUUGAUAUGGUGGGUGGGAACUCUUGGUUAGAUGGGGAAAGGAGAUGAUGGGGGAAGAGGAUGAGGGGAGGUGAUGGGGAAGAGGGACAUAGAGACCUUUUCUUUUAUAACUUAUAAAAUAUUAAUGAAUUAAUCGUAAGUAUAUAUUUUGUUUAUCUAGAUUGUAUAAUAUGAGUGAGUAUUCGGGCCUAUUUAUUGUCGGGUAAGAGGAUAAGGGAGGAAGGUGUGAGAAGAGGUAUGAAAGUGGUAGGGAAAUUAAUGUAUGGAUAUGAAAUUGAAGCAUGGGGGUUCAAACUUGAGACCUCUAUGCCUCAUUUGGUACACCUCCCAGUCAUAGACUGGAUUAGAUUAAAAUUAGGCCCAUGUUUGGUUCACCUACUUCUAGUUUUAAAUGGGGACUACUAAUACUCGGCCCACCAAAAACACAUCCUUAUGUGUUCUUAGUGAAGCCCGUGUGGAAGGGGGGACAAAUAGUAUGCUCACUAAUUAGAGACUUCGCAUAUUUUCGUCUUGUGCUUCCCAAGUGAACAAAAGUGAGUUUCCAGAUAGGUCACAACUAUUUCUAUCUUUGAAUCUUCCUCUUCUCUCUACUUGAUUGAAUAUUGUACUCAACCUUUCUCUUCUCUCUACUUUAUGGUAUGAAUUUUUUCUGCAGAUGUUUUGAGAUUUUUCUCUAUUUUUAUUUUUAGGUUUUCAGCCUUUAUUAUUAUUUUUUUGUUCUGGAAUAUUUCUUUCUUUGGACUCCUUGAUUUCUUUUCUUUGUUCUUUUGAGUUAGAAAAAUUAUAGUGCAUGUGUCUUUCAUAUGAUAAUGGCUAGAUUUGCUAGUUUAAGGAUUGGGUUAUGUGAAGAAUUGAAAAUUUUCCAUUAGGUGAAAUUUUUAUGAGAAAUAGGUUAGAGAAGAGAGUAAAAAUGCUUCUUACAUAGAAGAUUCUAAAAAAAAAAAUAUAGGAGACUUGGAAUAACAAACUUGUACAAGGCUUUUAGAAAGAAAAAAAUUGGGGUUUU